UGAGGCCUCCGAACUGAGGCUGUAGGUACGGGAGGCUCUUCCUUCAAUUUCGGGACAGCAGCUCAGGGGACAGGAGGACACAAGCCACGUGCCUCGGGGCCUGAAUUCACUUCAGAAGCCGGACGUCCCCAUGGAUACUCGGGAACCGGACAGACCCCCGUGGGAAGGUUUGCUGGUGGCUUUGACCUUGGUGCCUGAGACUCAGUUUCCCAUUCUGCCGGCCGGGGGCGAUGACCUAGCCCCUCAGCCAAGAUCAAUGGAGGCAAAAAACCAGGAGAUCCCAUAAAUCCCGUCGAGCUCGUCACAGCUGCCAAAUUAUGCCCUGAUAAAGCUUUUGGUGGCUAACGAUAUGGCCGUUCACCCGGAGUGGAUGCGGCCGGGAGGGAGGUUUCUGGAGAGCGUCUGGCCCACGGUGGAGACACUUGUCAUGAAGCGUUAUCUGAAGGCCCUCUGGCCCUAAUGAAGGGUGAAGCUUUGAACGUGAUUAUUUCUAAACAAAUAAAUAAUAAGGAUAACUUAAAAAUAAACAGA